AUUGGUUUGUGCAGUGCUCACCUCCUUGCCCUCGUUGACCACUUGGACAGCAGAGCUUCAUGAGAUGGAUGAAUGAGAGGAUGAUGGAUUCUAAGCUCUUCAAAAAGAGAAGCCACACAGCAAUGUGCUCACAACUCAUUAGACUUUCCAGAACUGUAGAAACUUUCUGCAUUGUCUUCCAAGGCUUGGCUUCCGAGUCCCAUCUGGCAUAAUACUGGCUGGGAGGAGAGCACCUCGGAGGCAGGAGAAGUUAAGGUAGGCACGAAUUUAAUGUGUAGGUAUGAAAAUAAUUUCUUUUUCAUGUGGGAUCUGGGGGAUGCAUGAUACAUAAUUUAAAAACCGCUGCACUAGAGGAUUUUUAGGGGGUCUCACCAAUGCUGUAGGAUUAAGCAAGGUCGUUCCUUUUCUUUGUGCUGAGGAGGAUACCCAAAUAGCCUUUCCGCGAGUGAAAGGAUGAGCUUUCCUUUGCCCUUUUUGUUCACUGCUCUUGUCCAUACUCUCAGUUCUAUCCAGUGUGGAGGCCGGGGAAUGCUGAACAGGCAGGCGGGCUCCUUUGUAUUCUG
rnacentral:lncRNA from 1 species